GCUCAAUCUCUCUGUAAAUGCCAUGUCUGUAGGUCUCUGUUUCACUCGCUCUUUGUGUAUUAACCUCUCUUUUGUUUGACCACCUCCAUAGCACUUUGUCAUCACCUAUUGUCGGGCCAAAGGGGAUUCGUAACAACCGUCCCAGCAUGGACUUCCGGGAGGCGGAGGAGGACAUGGUGUUGCUGUCCAAAUCCACCAGCUUUGCCGACGUCAGGGACAUCCUGAAGGACAUGAACCCGCAUGAAGAUGAGCAGGGACAGGUAUAACAGAGGCUGCACCUCCCUAAUGGGGGCGAGUCAGACACUGCCUAGCUGAUCUCAGAGGCCCUGAGGAAGAACUUUUAUCCUGAAGGAUGAAGAAACUCAAGUAGAGGCUCCGUAGUCCUCAACCUCCACCCAACUCCACCUACCCACGUCUGUGCCUAAGGACCCAGUCCCCAUGGAGACCCGGAUGCACCUCAUCAACCAUAUGGCAAUGGCUAAACAACAUGUCUGGAAAAACAAGCAACCACCUCCCAGCAGGCCAAUUCGGUCUGAACCAAAUUGAAACCAUACCCUAAUGUCCAGGCAUGACAUCUCCUGUUAUUCAAUUAACACUCCCCCGUACGCUCACUAUCUGGGCCCACACACCUCCCCAAAAGAAGGAUUCCUUAUCCCAUUGGUUCAAAAGCAAUGUCAUAGCAACUUAAUUUUGUGGGUGCUGUACAACUUCAGAUUUCACCUCUUUCUCACCAUCAGACUGUCUCCAGUGCUGCCUAACUUUUUUCUCUUCGGUAUAGUGCCUGUCCUGCUACCAUGAGAGAAACCAUUCCCCCCUUUUUUUCCCCGACAAGCUUCAACAGUAGAGUUGUGGAUGAACGCAUUUGUUGGAGUGGAAUAGUUUUUUAAAAAAUGUUUUCAUUUCUGUAUAGUCCUUGAAGUUGUAUGUACAAAUAAGACUGCAGAAAGUACUGCAAUACCUACACAAUUCUUUGUUCAUUUACAGCAAAACAUCUGUUCAAGUUUGUUAGUCAUGGUUAAUGUGUACAGCAUAAGUUUGCAAAUAACCAAUCUUCACAUAGCUCAUAACCUACUCAUAACCCCAUUGUACCAGUGUUAUCGCUGUCCUUAGGGUAAUAACUCUCAGAAUUUAGCUUGAUUGAUGGACGCUGUGCAACAUGAUACAGAAAUAAAUCCCAAUUUGAAAUCGGUCGACGGCCAUGACUAAAUGUGUGUGGUCUUUGAACUUGUCUGAUACAAGGACAGCUUGGAAGACUUGUAAAUCUACUGUAAAAUUUGAAUAUAAGUGUUCUCCUUC